rnacentral:lncRNA from 1 species
CGAGGGACAGGGCACCCCAUGGCACAGGGACACCCCCAUGGCACAGGGACACCACCCCUGAGCCCAUCGAGGGACAGGGCACCCCAUGGGACAGGGACACUGCUGAGCCCACCAAGGGAUGGGGCACCCCAUGGCACAGGGACACCGCUGAGCCCACUGAGAGAUGGGGCACCCUAUGGGACAGGGACACCCCCAUGGCACAGGGACACCACCCCUGAGCCCAUCGAGGGACAGGGCACCCCAUGGGACAGGGACACUGCUGAGCCCACCAAGGGAUGGGGC